rnacentral:rRNA from 1 species
UGGUUUAAUUCGAUGAUACGCGAGGAACCUUACCAAGGCUUAAAUGGGAAAUGACAGGCUUAGAAAUAGACUUUUCUUCGGACAUUUUUCAAGGUGCUGCAUGGUUGUCGUCAGCUCGUGCCGUGAGGUGUUAGGUUAAGUCCUGCAACGAGCGCAACCCCUGUCACUAGUUGCCAUCAUUAAGUUGGGGACUCUAGUGAGACUGCCUACGCAAGUACAGAGGAAGGUGGGGAUGACGUCAAAUCAUCACGGCCCUUACGCCUUGGGCCACACACGUAAUACAAUGGCCGGUACAGAGGGCAGCUACACAGCGAUGUGAUGCAAAUCUCGAAAGCCGGUCUCAGUUCGGAUUGGAGUCUGCAACUCGACUCUAUGAAGCUGGAAUCGCUAGUAAUCGCGCAUCAGCCAU